rnacentral:rRNA from 1 species
UGGGGAAUUUUGCACAAUGGGCGCAAGCCUGAUGCAGCGACGCCGCGUGGGGGAUGACGGCCUUCGGGUUGUAAACUCUUUUCGCUAGGGACGAAGCUUUUUGUGACGGUUCCUAGAUAAGAAGCACCGGCCAACUACGUGCCAGCAGCCGCGGUAAUACGUAGGGUGCGAGCGUUGUCCGGAAUUACUGGGCGUAAAGGGGUCGUAGGUGGUUUGUCGCGUCGUCUGUGAAAUUCCGGGGCUUAACUCCGGGCGUGCAGGCGAUACAGGCAUAACUUGAGGACUGUAGGAGGAACUGGAAUUCCUGGUGUUGCGGGGAAAUGCGCAGAUAUCAGGGGGAACACCGAUGGCGAAGGCAGAUUACUGGGCAGUUACUGACGCUGGGGAGCGAAAGCAUGGGUAGCGAACAGG